CACCAGACUCCUACGGGAGGCAGCAGUAGGGAAUAUUGCUCAAUGGGGGAAACCCUGAUGCAGCGACGCCGCGUGAGCGAUGAAGUAUUUCGGUAUGUAAAGCUCUAUCAGCAGGGAAGAAGAUGACGGUACCUGACUAAGAAGCCCCGGCUAACUACGUGCCAGCAGCCGCGGUAAUACGUAGGGGGCAAGCGUUAUCCGGAUUUACUGGGUGUAAAGGGAGCGUAGACGGCGAUGCAAGCCAGAUGUGAAAGCCCGGGGCUCAACCCCGGGACUGCAUUUGGAACUGUGUGGCUGGAGUGUCGGAGAGGCAGGCGGAAUUCCUAGUGUAGCGGUGAAAUGCGUAGAUAUUAGGAGGAACACCAGUGGCGAAGGCGGCCUGCUGGACGAUGACUGACGUUGAGGCUCGAAAGCGUGGGGAGCAAACAGGAUUAGAUACCCCGGUAC
rnacentral:rRNA from 1 species